GGCAACUUGCCUGAGUGGUUAAAGGGUAUGACUCGAAUGGUUGCAUCCAUCUCAGCUAUCAUAUGGCUUCGGCCGCGUAGGUUCGAAUCCUGCAGUUGUCG
rnacentral:tRNA from 1 species